AUUGAACGCUGGCGGCAUGCCUUACACAUGCAAGUCGAACGGCAGCACGGAGCUUGCUCUGGUGGCGAGUGGCGAACGUGUGAGUAAUAUAUCGGAACGUACCCAAGAGGGGGGGAUAACGUAGCGCAAGUUAAGCUAAUACCGCAUACGACCUAAGGAUGAAAGCAGGGGACCGCAAGGCCUUGUGCCCCUGGCGCGGCCGAUAUCUGAUUAUCUAGUUGGUGAGGUAAAGGCUCACCAAGGCAUCGAUCAGUAGCUGGUCUGAGAGGACGACCAGCCACACUGGAACUGAGACACGGUCCAGACUCCUACGGGAGGCAGCAGUGGGGAAUUUUGGACAAUGGGGGCAACCCUGAUCCAGCAAUGCCGCGUGAGUGAAGAAGGCCUUCGGGUUGUAAAGCUCUUUUGUCAGGGAAGAAACGGUGAAGGCUAAUAUCCUUUGCUAAUGACGGUACCUGAAGAAUAAGCACCGGCUAACUACGUGCCAGCAGCCGCCGUAA
rnacentral:rRNA from 1 species